AUAAAGAGCUCCAGCAACGAUUUCUUCGGUUUUUGGCAAUCAAAUGUGGGAAGGACCUAAAGACAACCGUGUGGCGAAUGCUUCAGAGUAUCUUCUCUAAUCACCUUUCCAUCAAUACAACCUGGACUGGUGUAGGGGAUAAAGCAUGUUUUAGAGACAUGUUCCUGAAGACCAUUGUUCAAAGAGCCAUCCGGAAGAACCCGGCAACCCAGGAUGCCACUGAUGAGGCGAUCCAGGUUAACGUUAUGCGUUACCUGAAAGGAGCAUCUGAACAUGAAGGUGGAAAAAGGAGC